rnacentral:tRNA from 1 species
GAGAUCAGCCUGUUAUCCCUAGAGUAACUUUUAUCCGUUGAGUGACGGCCUUUCCACUCAG